GAUGAACGCUGGCGGCGUGCCUAAUACAUGCAAGUCGAGCGAACAGACGAGGAGCUUGCUCCUCUGACGUUAGCGGCGGACGGGUGAGUAACACGUGGAUAACCUACCUAUAAGACUGGGAUAACUUCGGGAAACCGGAGCUAAUACCGGAUAAUAUAUUGAACCGCAUGGUUCAAUAGUGAAAGACGGUUUUGCUGUCACUUAUAGAUGGAUCCGCGCCGCAUUAGCUAGUUGGUAAGGUAACGGCUUAUCAAGGCAACGAUGCGUAGCCGACCUGAGAGGGUGAUCGGCCACACUGGAACUGAGACACGGUCCAGACUCCUACGGGAGGCAGCAGUAGGGAAUCUUCCGCAAUGGGCGAAAGCCUUACGGAGCAACGCCGCGUGAGUGAUGAAGGUCUUCGGAUCGUAAAACUCUGUUAUUAGGGAAGAACAAAUGUGUAAGUAACUAUGCACGUCUUGACGGUACCUAAUCAGAAAGCCACGGCUAACUACGUG
rnacentral:rRNA from 1 species